CUCAGUUGGUUAGAGCGCCCGGCUCAUAACCGGUAGGUCUGGGGUUCGAGUCCCUGAUGGCCCACCACAUUAAAUUAAUUAAUAUAAAUAUAAAUUCGAGGUGUAGCGCAGUUUGGUAGCGCACAUGGUUUGGGACCAUGGGGCCGGGGGUUCGAGUCCCUUCACCUCGACCAAUAUAAGGUGGGUAUAGCUCAGUUGGUUAGAGCGCCAGAUUGUGGCUCUGGAGGUCGUGAGUUCGACUCUCAUUAUCCACCCCAAAUUAUAUGGUCUAUUAGCUCAGUCGGUAGAGCACCUGACUUUUAAUCAGGGUGUCCCGCGUUCGAGUCGCGGAUAGAUCACCAAAAAGGUGGCGACAUAGCCAAGUGGUAAGGCAGUGGACUGCAACUCCUUGAUCCCCAGUUCGAAUCUGGGUGUCGCCUCCAAAAUAUUCCAAGGUAGCUCAACGGUGGAGCAACCGGCUGUUAACCGGUAGGCUGUGGGUUCGAGCCCCACCCUUGGAGCCAAAAAAAGCCGAAGUGGCGGAACUGGCAGACGCACAGGACUUAAAAUCCUGCGGGACUUACCUCUCGUACCGGUUCGAUUCCGGUCUUCGGCACUUAUAAAACAAUAUCGCGGAGUGGAGCAGUUGGCAGCUCGUCGGGCUCAUAACCCGAAGGUCGUAGGUUCAAGUCCUGCCUCCGCAACCAUUAAAAUGGCUCGUUGGUCAAGAGGUUAAGACACCGCCCUUUCACGGCGGUAACAGGGGUUCAAUUCCCCUACGAGUCACCAAUUAAAUAUGCGGGUGUAGCUCAAUGGUAGAGUUCUGGCCUUCCAAGCCAGCUGUGAGGGUUCGAUCCCCUUCACCCGCUCCAAAAAUGGGACCAUAGCUCAGCUGGGAGAGCACCUGCCUUACAAGCAGGGGGUCACAGGUUCGAGCCCUGUUGGUCCCACCAUUUGCGGCCUGGUAGUUCAGUUGGUUAGAAUGCCAGCCUGUCACGCUGGAGGUCGAGGGUUCGAACCANGGUACCCGUACCGCAAACCGACACAGGUGGGUGAGGAGAGUAUCCUAAGGCCAGCGAGAGAACUGUUGUUAAGGAACUCGGCAAAAUGACCCCGUAACUUAGGGAUAAGGGGUGCCACCAUCCGGUGGCCGCAGAGAAUAGGCCCAAGCGACUGUUUACCAAAAACAUAGGUUUCUGCUAAGUCGCAAGACGAUGUAUAGGAGCUGACGCCUGCCCGGUGCUGGAAGGUUAAGGGGAUCUGUUAGAGCAAUCGAAGCAGUGAACUUAAGCCCCAGUAAACGGCGGCCGUAACUAUAACGGUCCUAAGGUAGCGAAAUUCCUUGUCGGGUAAGUUCCGACCCGCACGAAAGGCGUAACGAUUUGGGCACUGUCUCAACAACAGACUCGGUGAAAUUGUAAUUCCGGUGAAGAUGCCGGAUACCUGCGACAGGACGGAAAGACCCCAUGGAGCUUUACUGUAGCUUGACAUUGGGUCUUGGUACUACAUGUACAGGAUAGGUGGGAGGCUUUGAAACCAGGACGCCAGUUUUGGCGGAGCCAUCCUUGGGAUACCACCCUUGUAGUACUGGGACUCUAACCAUAGGCCAUGAAUCUGGUCUUGGGACACUGUCAGGUGGGCAGUUUGACUGGGGCGGUCGCCUCCCAAAAGGUAACGGAGGCGCUCAAAGGUUCUCUCAGUACGGUCGGAAAUCGUACGUAGAGUGUAAAGGCAAAAGAGAGCUUGAUUGCAAGACAUACAGGUCGAGCAAGGAUGAAAAUCGGACUUAGUGAUCCGGUGGUUCUGCGUGGAAGGGCCAUCGCUCAACGGAUAAAAGCUACCCUGGGGAUAACAGGCUUAUCUCCCCCAAGAGUCCACAUCGACGGGGAGGUUUGGCACCUCGAUGUCGGCUCAUCACAUCCUGGGGCUGUAGUAGGUCCCAAGGGUUGGGCUGUUCGCCCAUUAAAGUGGUACGCGAGCUGGGUUCAGAACGUCGUGAGACAGUUCGGUCCCUAUCCGUCGCAGGCGUAGGAAAUUUGAGAAGACCUGUCCUUAGUACGAGAGGACCGGGAUGGACGUACCUCUGGUGUACCAGUUGUUCUGCCAAGGGCAUGGCUGGGUAGCUAUGUACGGAAUGGAUAAGCGCUGAAAGCAUCUAAGCGCGAAGCCAACUUCAAGAUAAGAUUUCCCACCGCAAGGGUAAGACCCCAGAAAGACUAUCUGGUUGAUAGGUCGAAGGUGUAAGUGCAGCAAUGUAUUUAGCUUAUCGAUACUAAUAGGUCGAGGACUUGACCAA
rnacentral:rRNA from 1 species